UAAACUAGUACACCUGGAAGAAAUGGAUAAAUUCCUGCCUGGACACAUACACCCUCCCAAGACUAAACCAGGGAUAAGUUGAAUCCCUGGAUAGACCAAUAACAACUUCUGAAAUUGAGGCAAUAAUAACAGCCUACCAAACAAAAAAAAAAAAGCC